rnacentral:rRNA from 1 species
AAAAUUAGAGUGUUCAAAGCAGGCAGAUCCAAUUUGCUGCCACCGAAUACAUUAGCAUGGGAUAAUGGAAUAGGACCCUGUCCUCCUAUUUUCAGUUGGUUUUGGCAGCGCGAGGACUAGGGUAAUGAUUAAUAGGGAUAGUUGGGGGCAUUAAUAUUUAAUUGUCAGAGGUGAAAUUCUUGGAUUUAUGAAAGAUUAACUUCUGCGAAAGCAUCUGCCAAGGAUGUUUUCAUUAAUCAAGAACGAAAGUUAGGGGAUCGAAGACGAUCAGAUACCGUCGUAGUCUUAACCAUAAACGAUGCCGACCAGCGAUUAGGAGACGUUGAAUACAAAACACCACCAUCGGCGCGGUCGUCCUUUCGUGCGUCGGUCCUUCUACGGGGCCGGCGCGGGGGCGGCUUAGCCCGGUGGCACCGGGCAA